UACGAAGGGGGCUAGCGUUGCUCGGAAUUACUGGGCGUAAAGGGAGCGUAGGCGGAUAGUUUAGUCAGAGGUGAAAGCCCAGGGCUCUACCUUGGAAUUGCCUUUGAUACUGGCUAUCUUGAGUACGGAAGAGGUAUGUGGAACUCCGAGUGUAGAGGUGAAAUUCGUAGAUAUUCGGAAGAACACCAGUGGCGAAGGCGACAUACUGGUCCGUUACUGACGCUGAGGCUCGAAAGCGUGGGGAGCAAACAGG
rnacentral:rRNA from 1 species